UACAGAGGUCUCAAGCGUUGUUCGGAUUCAUUGGGCGUAAAGGGUGCGUAGGUGGCGCGGUAAGUCGGGUGUGAAAUUUCGGAGCUUAACUCCGAAACUGCAUUCGAUACUGCCGUGCUUGAGGACUGGAGAGGAGACUGGAAUUUACGGUGUAGCAGUGAAAUGCGUAGAUAUCGUAAGGAAGUCCAGUGGCGAAGGCGGGUCUCUGGACAGUUCCUGACACUGAGGCACGAAGGCCAGGGGAGCAAACGGG
rnacentral:rRNA from 1 species